rnacentral:SRP_RNA from 1 species
CGCCAGGGCCCAUGGAACGUGGACUUGUGAACCCCGCCAGGGCCGGAAGGCAGCAACGGUGCUUGUUCCGCGUCUGCCGUGGGUACCCUGGCAUUU